ensembl:snRNA U2 U2 spliceosomal RNA
AUUGCUUCUUGGCCUUUGGGCUAAAAUCAGUUGUAGUAUGUGUGGUUAUUAGUAUAAUAUCUAACACAUUCUCUAGCCAAGAAGUGGCUAGAGGAAUCCAUUUACUAUAUUAAAUGGACUUUUGGAGCAAGAAGAGAAAAUAGGAGCUUGCUUUACUCACUCUAUGCACUGACCUGACAUCAUAGUACAUCAGCAACAGGGCACCUCAU